rnacentral:rRNA from 1 species
GUCCACGCCGUAACGAUGAGUGCUAGAUGUCACGGGCUUUGACUCCUGUGGUGUCGUAGCUAACGCGUUAAGCACUCCGCCUGGGAAGUACGGUCGCAAGACUAAACUCAAAGGAAUUGACGGGGCCCGCACAAGCGGUGGAGCAUGUGGUUUAAUUCGACGCAACGCGCAGAACCUUACCUGGGGCUUGAAAAGGGCGGAAUCCCGCAGAAACGUGGGAGUGCUCGCAAGAGAACCGUCAUUCAGGUGCUGCAUGGCUGUCGU